CAGUAGCCGCGGUAAUACGGAGGGCGCGAGCGUUACCCGGAUUUACUGGGCGUAAAGGGCGUGUAGGCGGCCUGGGGCGUCCCAUGUGAAAGGCCACGGCUCAACCGUGGAGGAGCGUGGGAUACGCUCAGGCUAGAGGGUGGGAGAGGGUGGUGGAAUUCCCGGAAUAGCGGUGAAUGCGCAGAUACCGGGAGGAACGCCGAUGGCGAAGGCAGCCACCUGGUCCACUUCUGACGCUGAGGCGCGAAAGCGUGGGGAGCAAACCGGAUUAGAUACCCGCGUAGUCCCUGUCUCUUAUACA
rnacentral:rRNA from 1 species